rnacentral:rRNA from 1 species
GACGAACGCUGGCGGCGUGCUUAACACAUGCAAGUCGAACGGAAAGGCCCUGCUUUUGUGGGGUGCUCGAGUGGCGAAGGGGUGAGUAACACGUGAGUAACCUGCCCUUGACUUUGGGAUAACUUCAGGAAACUGGGGCUAAUACCGGAUAGGAGCUCCUGCUGCAUGGUGGGGGUUGGAAAGUUUCGGCGGUUGGGGAUGGACUCGCGGCUUAUCAGCUUGUUGGUGGGGUAGUGGCUUACCAAGGCUUUGACGGGUAGCCGGCCUGGGAGGGUGACCGGCGACCUGGGGCCUACGGUAGGCAGCAGAGUCCAACGGGGGGCAGCAGUCGGGAGUAUGGCACAGUGGGCGGGAGCCUGAGGAGAAAGCGCCGCGUUCGGAAUGCCGGCCUUCGGGUUGUAAACCGCUUUCGCCUAUGACGAAGCGGGAGUGACGGUACUGGGUAAAGAAGCACCGGCUAACUACGUG